UAGCACCUUUACUAUCAAAGGCAUUUUUUAAAAAUUCAUUUUUAAAGUUACCCAUUUUUUAAAAAUGCUUUCCCUUGAUAGUUAUUUUCAGAUGCAGUGAUGGGAGAUCCCUUUCUUGUGGUUGAGAUAGGCAUGCUGGUUCUAGAAUCUGCAGUGGGAGAAGGAAAGAAACGAAGCAAAGAUUCUCAAGCCUUUCUUCUGGAGACCUUCUCCAGACUUUUGGAACUCUUGACUCUCCGCUACCGACUGAUAGAAAUGAGUGUGGAAAGUGCACACUUAUCCUGGUUAUACAAAAUAUUUGCCCAAGAGAUGGGUUUUGAUGAAUUCCAUUUGUACUUGAGGCCAGUCUACUUUGAAUUUGCAUCUCAUAAGGAGAAGGCAGACCAACCACCUCCAAUUUUCAUUACAGCUCUACAGGAAGAUAAUAGUCGAGUAGAUAGAUAUGUUCCUUCUACUCUUCAAUUGGCUAUCUCUGAGGUGGAUGAUAAUCAUAUUGGAAAAUUUAGUUUUCAUAAAAAGGAAAGCAUUUUUCAGGUAAAAUUUGUUUUGUUUUGUUUUCCCACUCAAAGGAAGUCAAAAUAAACUGUCACAUGCAUAUUGUCCAUGAUCAGAAUCAUGUUAUUUUUGCCCCAGAAUUUUAAUUCCAUCUUAUACUCACAGCUCCCAUAAGUGCAGUUAGUAUAAUUAUUUACUGUUUUUUUUAUUUCUUGUAAUUUGGCAUAAUUUCUUCCAUAUAUACUCUUAAUAACUGUGGUAAGAAUUUCUGUUGGGCAAUAAAAAUAAGUUUUAUGUUUCCAAACACCUUUUCUUAUGUUGCCUUUUUUAAAAAUGCACUUAUAUUAGGAGACGUUUAACUUUUAACAUCAUACAACAGAAUGUAAACUUUUUGAGAGCAGGUUCUAAUUUUUAUUUUCAUCCUCUGCAUCCCCAACACCUCACACAGAGCCUGGUAUAUAUAGGCGCUUAAUAAGUUUGUUGAAUACAAGAAAUUUACUUGUGUUCAUUUCUCUCUGGCUCAUCAGGAAAGAUUUCUUGGCUUUUCUUUGGGGACAAUGGGAGGGGGAAGAAGAAAUUAAACAUUAACAUGAUCUGGGUUGCUUUAUUCUGCAUGGCAGCCUAUUUCUGGAUGUAAAUCUUUCACAGUUUGUCUAGUAUCCUCAAAGGAAGCUGAGUCAAAUUUGCAGCUUUUGGGAAAAAUUAAACCUGGGUGACUGCCAUGAACUGAAAUCAG
rnacentral:lncRNA from 1 species